CAUUUAUACACGUGCUCACUGCUCAAUCAACGACCUCAUCGCCUACCCAUGCACGCACACGCAUGUAGAGAGGACGUCUACUUGAAGUAGUAUGGGAGGUCGAGCACGUAGAGGAGGAAGUAGGCCCAGACCACGCCGGAGAUGCCGCCGAAGAAGAAGCCUCCGGUGAACUUGGCCCAGCCGUCGGCGGUCUGCAGCUUGUCGGCCUCCUUCUUGCGGCCGGUGAGCGUGAGCGUGGGCGCCGUGGACGGGUCGCCCUCGUUGAAGGAGGCGACGCCGUACAUGGUGAGGCAGACGCUGAGGAUGGUGACGAGCCCGGCGGCGCCCAGGGCGCCCGCCUGGCCGUGCACGGGCGUGUUGCGGAGCGGGCCGGUGAGGGCGAAGGGGCCCACGAGGAGGUAGCCGUGCGCAAGCCCGACCUCGAUGCCGCGGAGCAGCGGGCUCACGGCGGUGCGGUAGGCCGGGAGGUUGGAGAGGUACCAGGCGAUGAGCGGGCUGGAGGUGAUGGGCGUCUCCAGGCUGCCGAUGAAGGGGUCGCCGUUGAUGGGCUGCACCACCUGGUACGUU
rnacentral:lncRNA from 1 species